GGCGGUCAUACAGUGGGGAGAAUGCCAGGUGAAUGCACACAGGUUGGAAAACUCCGGGUGAACGCAUAGAAGGAAGUGAAUGCACACAGGGGGAGAAGGCUAGGUGGCGCAGGGAAGUGAACGCACACAGUCGGGAGAACGCAGAGCUGGGUGAACGCAUAGAACAGGGAGAACGCCUGAUGAAUGCACAGCGGGGAGAAUAGCGGUGGAACAUACAGUGGGGAGAACACCCAGGGUGAAUGCACUCAGAAGAAAGAACGCCAAGUGAACGCACAGAGGGGAGAACGCAGGGUGAACACACAGAGAAGUGAACGCCCAGAGGGGAGAAUGCAAGGUGAACGCACACACCGGGGAGAUCGCUGGGUGAAAGCACAGACUGGGGAGAAAGCCUGGUGAACGCACAGACGGGGGAGAACACACAGCGUUCACACACAGGAGAGAACCUCCAGUGAGUGCACAGAGAGAAUGCCACAGGAACGCACAAUGGGGAGAAUGCCAUGUGAAGGCACAAAGGGAGAACACCGCGUGAACGCACACACGUGGGGGAGAAAGCCAGGGAAAGGCAAAAUAAAUAGAAUGCAGUAGGAACGCACAGGAGAGAGAAUGCAACGGGAACACUCAGAGGGAGAGCUCCGCCUGAACACAAAGGGGGAGAACACCUGCUGAAUGCACGGAGUUGGAGAACGCCGGGUGAACGCACGGGGGAGAUGCCCUACGAACACAGAGAAGGGAGAAUGCAGGUGGAACACACACGUGGUUCGAGAACACCCCGCUAACGCACAGGAUACAGGACGCCGGGUGAAAGCACAGGACGGAAAUAGCGUGCGAACGCUCAGCGGGGAGAACGCCUGGUGAAUGCACAGGAGGGAUAACGCCAGGUGAACAGGCAGGGAGAAAACGCCGCACUAACACACACUGGAAUUAACACAGAGCGAGCACACAGGUACACAGGUGGGAGAACGUCACACGAGGGUGGGGGCUGGGGGAAGAACAUCGGGAGAUCACACAGGGAGGAGAACGCCCAGUGAACACACAAAGGGGAGAAGUUUGUGAACACAAAGGGAGAAGAAUGCCUGGGGAAACACGGUAGGGAGAAACACCGGGUGAACGCACACAGCGGGGAGAAAGCCACGGGAAUGCAAACAGGAGAACACCUGGUGAACCUACGGGUUAGGGGAGAACGCCGGUGAACCCGCACCAACACACGGGGGAAAUAACGGCAUAUGAACACACGAGGAGAAUGCCGUGUGAACACACAGGAAGAGAAUGUCAGGCAAACUCGCAGGGGGAAAAGGCCAUAUGAACCUGUGUCCAGAAUUGGUAGGUUCUUCGUCUCACUGACCUCAAGAAUGAAACCACGGACCCUUACGGUGAGCGUUACAGUUCUUAAAAGACGGUGUGUGUCCGGAGUUUAUUCCUUCAAACGUUCAGAUACGUCUGCAGCUUCUUGCUUCUGUGUGGGUGCAAGGUCUACACUGUCACGAGCAAAGCCGCAGAACUUCAUGGUGAAUACUACAGCUCUCAAAGGCAGCGCGGACCCAUAGAGCAAAAGAACAAAGCUUCCAAGGUGGGGGAGAGAACACCAAGUGAACGAACAGCGGAAAACACCGGGUGAACGCACACAGGGGAGAACUCCAGAGGAAUGCACACAGUAAGGAGAACGCCGUGUGAAUGCAAAUGAGAGAACACCACGUGAACACACCAGAGAGAACGCAGCGGAAACGCACAGAAAAGCGAGCGCCUGGGGAACGCACAGAGGGAAGAACACCAAGUGAACACACAAGGGGGAGAACGCCAGGCCUUGCCACAACAGUGCAGCAACGCCCCUCAGCAAAGGGGUCUCGCCUGCUGUUCAGCAGCUCUCUUCCCACCACAAUGAUGGGCAGCCAGAUCCGAACUGGAACUCCACCACGUCCAAAAGGAAUGUGAACACCAGUAGAAUCCAGAUAGAAGAGUGUGACCAAGGCACAGUGGAUGAGAACCGGAGCUUGGCUAGCAGCCAGGGGUUCAGCUGCUUCCUGACCUGUGCCCUGGCACCUCUCACCUGGCCGGGGCUUCUCAGGGAGUGACCACUGCGGAGCCUUUGAGACCCUGACAUGUGUGGGCACAUUUCUAAGCCUUCCUUGCAUAGACUCACUCCUCCCUAAUGCUGUCCCAUUUUCCAGACAGGAUCUCAUCCAUCCCCCACUGCUGCCCCCACUGCUUUGGUUCAGCCCCUUAGCUGUGAAUGGAGUUAGUUCCUCAUAUUAGAUCUCCAUAAGACUGUGGUGGGAGUCGGCGUAGAGGAGGGAAAGCCUGGACUUUCUAUCAGAAGGUCUUGUGGAGUAGUGCAGGCCAUGGCACUUCCUGGCUCUGUGCAUGGGGUGGGCCACCCCAACCCGGCUCCUCACACUUCACUACGUGCAGCAGCCUCCUGGGCCCUGUGAACAUGCAGACUCUGAGCAGCAGGACUGCACAGGGCCCACAUGUGCAUUUCUAAACAGCUCCCAGAGGACGCCAGUGCUGCGGGCCGAGGCCCACACUGGAGGAACACUGGCCAGUGGGCAGCUUUGGGUGGCCUUUAAAGUGGGUAGAAGCACACCUGCCCAGCCUACCCCCAUGGCUGCUGCAGGAUCAGGAAACAGCACACUCCUAAGUGACUCGUCACCAUGGUGACUUUUGGAUUCCCACUGCCAGUUCCUGUGGAGUCAGAGAGAUCUUAGCUCAGAAGUGCUGACAGCAGGGGCUGGCUGGCCACUGCCGCAUGAGAAGAGGAGAAAGGCAGCAGGAGUCACCUGAGGCAAAUGAGCUAGUCAAGCUGCUGCUCUGCCUAACUUCCCUCCACGGCUCCUAACACAGGUGAAAUUGGCUCAGAACAGCUCAGCAUGUCCUGCUGAGGGGCAGGAAGGAUGCUGAGAAAAUUCCAGGCAGCGGUCUCAGCUGGGAUGUAAUUUGAGAGUGAAAAAGGUGUGUUGCUUGCAGUCUCUUCCUUGCUCCUUGCAGAUUAUAUUUGAAAUGAAUAUCAGAGUCAUGCAGCCACUGCCAACUAAUUCCCAACUAAGAAGGUAAACACCAGCAUCACCUGGGUCUUCUGAUGUACCUGAUUCUGCAGCUCAGAGGGAACCAUGCAGCUGGCAAAAAUGACAGCAAGGGCAGGACUAUGACCCAAUUAAAGGAAUGUGAGUUAAAACAUGGGGAACCAAACACCCAAAUUCCAGCCUGAUCCUAACUGGAUGUAGGCAUUAAACUCUUAUGCUGUCAUUCCCACCACUGAGUAGAAAGAGUGGCACAUGGCUUUGUAUCACUAUAAAUACAAUUCUACUUUACCGGC